rnacentral:rRNA from 1 species
UACGUAGGGGGCAAGCGUUGUCCGGAAUCAUUGGGCGUAAAGAGCGUGUAGGCGGCCCGAUAAGUCCGCUGUGAAAGUCCAGGGCUCAACCCUGGAAUGCCGGUGGAUACUGUCGGGCUCGAAUCCGGAAGAGGUGAGUGGAAUUCCUGGUGUAGCGGUGAAAUGCGCAGAUAUCAGGAGGAACACCAAUGGCGAAGGCAGCUCACUGGGACGGUAUUGACGCUGAGACGCGAAAGCUAGGGUAGCGAACGGG